CAUGACAUAGCAGUUGGUCAAUUCUCCUGCUUGGUUUCCAAAAUUCUGACCGUGGGUCACCACUGACACAAACUAACGUCUAUCUGUAAGAAAUGAGAAAGAGGCAAUUGGAAAGGAGAAAAAGAGGGGACAGAUUGAGCAGAGAGGGUUCCCACAGCAAACUGUUCCUUGCUUGGAGUCAAGCAACUCUUAGAACGCAGACAGCAAAGACAAAAAGAAUCCGGUGAAAAUGCACCUUUUGCGUCCUCAAUACACGGCACAGACGGCGACAGGGAGGGGCAGAAGAUGCAGCUAAGGCUGUGCCUCACAGCUCAGAGAUGCUCAGGGCUGGAUACCGACUUGGAUCUCCUACCUCAGAUGGAAGCAAAUUUCCUUGUGAUGUUCCAGAAAGAAGCGUACCGCCAGAAAUUAUCAUAACACUUCCUACACCGGGAGCUGGAGGGCUGCCUGACCUUCCAGUGACUCUGCCUCUGUGUCAUCCUGCCCCCUUCUUGUCACCUCUAUAAGUGGACCCUCGCUCUUACCAGGAGAGCUCCAGCCAGCAGGCUCACACACGGAUCCCAGAGUCAGCCGCCUGGGUUCUGAUUCUGCUCUGGCUCUCACCGUGUGACUCUGGGCACGUCGCUUAGCACUCCCGAGCCUCACUCUGUUAUUCUGGAAAAUGGGGGCAAUAAGGGCACCAUCCCUCCCAGAGCCGUGGUGAGGAUGACCUGUGGCCCCACAAGACCCAUGUCUGCACCGUCUGGUGAAGUCGAUGUCAGUCACCAUCCUCCAAACAUCACAUUCUCCCUUGCCUUCUGCAAGAUGCCUUACUCCUGACCUUUUAACUUUGCACUUGAGUUACUGAAAUAGGUGUCUAGAUGGGUCCCUCCAGAACCCGGGAGGGUCGGGCAGUUCCCACACUGUGCGACCCAGCUCCCCGGUAACACAUCCCACACUCCUAACAGCAGCAGUGCCUGACUCCCCCACUCCCCUGCCCAUGGCUGCUCCCCCACCCCCAUCCUUGCCUAUCUUGAGCCAACGCACGUCACGGCUCGCCUCCAGUGCCUCAUCUUUCGUCCUUCGGGAAGCAUUUUCUGAUCCUUCCUGUGGCAUGGUUUAGCUCACUUUUUGAUUGCAUGAUUCUUAUGAGAUGGACUGUUUUAUUUAUACUGUACUUUGUUCCAAAAAAGGAUUUAAAGUGAUCUACAAGGAUAUAUGCAAUAUAACAAGGCUUUUUAAAAUUCAGAAGUAGAUGCAAAAUAAAUAAUAAAGAUGAGACUAAAGAGAAACUAGG
rnacentral:lncRNA from 1 species